AUUCUAUUAGUAUAUAAGUAUAUUUAACUUCCAAUUAAAAGGAUUAAUAAUUAAAUAGAAUA
rnacentral:tRNA from 1 species